rnacentral:rRNA from 1 species
AGAAAGCAAAUAAGGGCGUACGAGGAAUGCCUAGGCUUUCAGAGGCGAUGAAGGACGUGAUAGGCUGCGAUAAGCUUCGGGUAGGUGCCGAAUAACCGCUUGAUCCGAAGAUCUCCCAAUGGGGUAACCCAUCCGCUUGCGGAUAUCCCGACUUGUCGGGAGGCUAACCUGCUGAACUGAAACAUCUUAGUAGGCAGAGGAAGAGAAAACAAUAGUGAUUCCCCCAGUAGUGGCGAGCGAAAAGGGAUUAGCCCAAAUCCAGGUAGUUUCGGCUCCCUGGAGGUUGUAGGACUACCAUCACUGACAAUAAAACUGAAAUGGAAAUAUUUUGGAAAACUUUACCAUAGAAGGUGACAGUCCUGUACAUGUAAGGUUUUUUGUCAAGGUAGUAUCCUGAGUAACGCGGGACCGGAGAAAUCUUGCGUGAAUCUGCCAGCACCAUCUGGUAAGGCUAAAUACUCCUGAAAGACCGAUAGCGAACAAGUACCGUAAGGGAAAGGUGAAAAGAACAGUGAGAAGCUGAGUGAAAUAGAACCUGAAAUCGUACGCCUACAAGCGGUAGGAGUCCCGAUUUAUCGGGAUGACUGCGUGCCUUUUGCAUAAUGAGCCUACGAGUUACUCCUCACUGGCAAGGUUAAUCUUCUAACCGAGAAGCCGUAGCGAAAGCGAGUUCUAACAGAGCGAAUAGUCAGUGGGGGUAGACGCGAAACCUAGUGAUCUACCCAUGGGCAGGAUGAAGUCUCGGUAACACGAGAUGGAGGUCCGAACUUAUUAGCGUUGAAAAGCUACUGGAUGACCUGUGGGUAGGGGUGAAAGGCCAAUCAAACUGGGAAAUAGCUCGUACUCUCCGAAAUGCUUUUAGGAGCAGCCUCGAAGUUAGUGUUAUUGAGGUAGAGCCACUGUUUUGGCUAGGGGGCUUCACCGCCUACCAAACCAAGGCAAACUCCGAAUGCUUUAACAUUUAUUCGGGAGUGAGGCAUCGGGUGCUAAGGUCCGGUGCCAAAAGGGGAACAACCCAGACCACCAGUUAAGGUCCCUAAAUAUAUGCUAAGUUGGUUAAAUGAGGUUCUGUUGCUAAAACAGCCAGGAUGUUGGCUUGGAAGCAGCCAUUCAUUUAAAGAGUGCGUAACAGCUCACUGGUCGAGCGAUAGAGCGCAAAUAAUAAACGGGCAUAAAGCAUAUUACCGAAACUGUGGGGUCGUUUUUAACGACCGGUAGGAGAGCAUUCCUGUUUCUGCAAAGCAUUAUCGCGAGAUAGUGUGGAGAGACAGGAAAAGAAAAUGUAGGCAUAAGUAACGAUAAUACCGGUGAAAAACCGGUACACCGUAAGACUAAGGUUUCCUGAUCAACGUUAAUCGGAUCAGGGUUAGUCGGGCCCUAAGGUGUACCCGAAAGGGGAAACCGAUGGACAACAGGUUAAUAUUCCUGUACUGUGUUCAAUGUGAUGGGGUAACGGAGAAGUGAAAGGUCUGCGUACUGACGGAAUAGUACGUUGAAAAGCGUAGGUAUAUCUCUUUCAGGCAAAUCCGAUAGAGAUGCUGAAACUUGACAGUACCACAAACCUUCGGGCGAGUGGAUAAUGACCCUAAGCAUGCUCCCAAGAAAAUCCUCUAAACUUAAAUUGAACAUUACCCGUACCGUAAACCGACACAGGUAGUCGAGGAGAAUAUCCUAAGGUGCUCGAGUGAUCCACGGCUAAGGAACUCGGCAAAUUGGCCUCGUAACUUCGGGAUAAGAGGCGCCUAACUCCGACUUGUCGGAGAAGGCCGCAGUGAAAUGGCCCAGGCGACUGUUUAGCAAAAACACAGGACUCUGCUAAAUCGUAAGAUGAUGUAUAGGGUCUGACACCUGCCCGGUGCUGGAAGGUUAAGAGGAGAGGUCAUCCCGAGCAAUCGGGAGAAGCUUUGAAUCGAAGCCCCAGUAAACGGCGGCCGUAACUAUAACGGUCCUAAGGUAGCGAAAUUCCUUGUCGGGUAAGUUCCGACCUGCACGAAUGGUGUAACGAUCUGGGCACUGUCUCAGCCGUGAGCUCGGUGAAAUUGUAGUAUCGGUGAAGAUGCCGAUUACCCGCAACGGGACGGAAAGACCCCGUGAACCUUUACUACAACUUAAUAUUGAUUUUGGAUAUGUAAUGUGUAGGAUAGGUGGGAGACUUUGAAGUAAGGGCGCUAGCUCUUAUGGAGUCGUCCUUGAAAUACCACCCUUUAUUUAUCUGAAAUCUAAUCCCGAAUUUUCGGGAGACAGUAUUUGGUGGGUAGUUUGACUGGGGUGGUCGCCUCCAAAAAAGUAACGGAGGCUCCCAAAGGUACCCUCAGUACGGUUGGUAACCGUGCGUUGAGUGCAAUAGCAUAAGGGUGCUUGACUGCAAGACCUACAAGUCGAGCAGAGACGAAAGUCGGGUAUAGUGAUCCGGUGGUUCCGCAUGGAAGGGCCAUCGCUCAUAGGAUAAAAGGUACUCCGGGGAUAACAGGCUGAUCUCCCCCAAGAGCUCACAUCGACGGGGAGGUUUGGCACCUCGAUGUCGGCUCGUCACAUCCUGGGGCUGGAGAAGGUCCCAAGGGUUGGGCUGUUCGCCCAUUAAAGUGGCACGCGAGCUGGGUUCAGAACGUCGUGAGACAGUUCGGUCCCUAUCUGUUGUGGGCGCUAGAAGUUUGAAGAGACCUAACCUUAGUACGAGAGGACCGGGUUGGACAAACCUCUGGUGUACCUGUUGUGACGCCAGUUGCACUGCAGGGUAGCCACGUUUGGACGAGAUAAGCACUGAAAGCAUCUAAGUGCGAAGCUCACUCCAAGAUUAGACUUCUGAUUAAGGGUCGUCAAAGACUAUGACGUUGAUAGGCUGCAGGUGUAAGUACGGUAACGUAUUAAGCUGAGCAGUACUAAUUACCCGUAAGCUUUCUAAAA